rnacentral:rRNA from 1 species
CUAGCCGUAAACGAUGGGUACUAGGUGUAGGGGUUUCGAUACCUCUGUGCCGCAGUUAACGCAAUAAGUACCCCGCCUGGGGAGUACGUGCGCAAGCAUGAAACUCAAAGGAAUUGACGGGGGCCCGCACAAGCGGUGGAGCAUGUGGUUUAAUUCGAAGCAACGCGAAGAACCUUACCAGGGCUUGACAUCCCCUGCGAGCCGUGGAGACAUGGUGUCCCUUCGGGGCAGGGAGACAGGUGG